AAGUCGUAACAAGGUUUCCGUAGGUGAACCUGCGGAAGGAUCAUUACUGAUUUUUAAAGAUGUGCUGGCCUUUAUUGGCAUGUGCACUCUUAAAAACCCAUUAUCCACCUGUGCACAUUUUGUAGGCACUUGUUUGCCUAUGCUUUUUACACUCCAUUAAUUUAACUGAAUGUCAUUACACAUUAAUUUUAAAACAACUUUCAACAAUGGAUCUCUUGGUUCUC
rnacentral:misc_RNA from 1 species